rnacentral:misc_RNA from 1 species
AGUCGUAACAAGGUAUCCGUAGGUGAACCUGCGGAUGGAUCAUUAACAAAGGUGAUUUUGAAGUUGUGUGAACAGUUGGAGGUGGUGGUGGUGGUGGUGGUAUUGGGUGGUACUGGGUGGUACUGGGUGGUACUGGGUGGUAUUGGGUGGUAUUGGGUGGUAUUGAGUGGUGUAACCUUGGUCUAACCUUGGUCAACCUCACUCAACCUCACUUAACCUCACUCUCCCAACCUCACUCUCCCAACCUCCACCACUCCGUCCCUAUAAUGUAUACAAACUGAUGUCUGCUAGUUUCAAACUAAAACAACUUUUAGCAACGGAUCUCUUGGCUCUC